UUUUCCAAAGAAUUUGUAAACCCUUACUUGCAUUUUUGCAUUGUGUGUGCCUGGAAAGUUGCAUAAAGUGUGUUGCUUCAGGGCUGCACCUAAUUAUACUGGGCAUCCAGAAAUAGGUGCAUCUGACUCAGAAUUUCUGCAUGCUUUGCCAGCCAAUCAAACCAUAAGACAUGCAAGCUAUGGUUAAAUUAAGCAAUAAGACACCGCAAGCUGCAAGUAGUGACUUAUCGGCACACAACACACCGCAAGGAAGAUCACAACAGGAAACAGUUUUAAGGUAGUAGCUGUCCUCAGCCCAGCUAAGAAUAUCAUCACUACAGUGGCUUUGUGCACUUCGAGUCAGAGGACCUACUGUGCUAACCUUGAACACUGCAAGAGAGGACUAAACAUAAAAUGAGGUGUCCAUGGAGUCCUCUUGUAGGGCUGGCCAUUAGCAACCCAUUCAGCUCCAAUCCCAUGAUUCUCUGAUUGAGACUGGAAUUAAUCAGAAAGCACCAAAGCAGUAAACAAUCAUUAGUGCCUUAGGAAAGCAACCAGGUACAACCAAAAAGAAGAGGCUGGCAGAGCAUCUAAAAAGACACACAAGUGCAAGACAAAUAUCUUCUCUUUGAAUAGCUUUUUGGAAAACACCUGAAUUUGGCUAAGAAGACAAGGAAGCUUUUCUUCGUAUUUUCUGUUGAAGUGGGACUUUGAGACACUCAUUCACAUACAAGAAAAGGAAUAGCCAUGUUUUUGCAGUGCUAGUUUAUCCCAGGAUAAAAGAGCUGACAAUUUGCUUUCCUUGACUUUAGGGAUGAUGAAGGUGCCUGAAUUAACAAGGGUGAAGAUUCAAAAAAGUCUGGGUUGUCAUUUUAUUUGCUAGGGUCGUGUGAGUAGAAAUUGCUUUCCAAGAUGUCUUCUGACAUACAAAAAGAGCAAACAUGAGAGAGAACCAGAAGAUACAGUGUAUGCAUGCUGCUUAAUUAACACUGUGUUCUGUGAUCCAACACAGAACUGAAGCUGCAUAGAAGACAUAGAGGACACAGCCUACCCGGGCACAAUGUGGAUCAAUUUUAAAUGUCUGUCAUCUUGAAGUCAGAGAGUAAGAUAUCCUUUCUUCACACCUGUUUUUGAAGAAUUUAUACAUGGUUUUGAAAGUUUGGUAGACAGUCUCAGAAAGUCAUGAGACGCUUUGUUGCUGUUAGCUCACCUGCAGCCUGUAUCCCUGCCAUGUGCUGGGAAGCCAUGCAACAGCCAUUCUGCCUGUUGUUCCGCCAGGCAUCCACUUCUCUACCUCAGCAUCUUCAGGCAAAGCCAACUAAUGCAGGAAGACCUUUCAUUGAUCACAUGAUACAUAACUUUAAAAAAAAUUUAAUGCAGUGAAAUUCCCAGGUUAUGCAACAAUACAACAUCUGCCAAAACAAGCAUCAUUUUCAAGAAGUGAUUAAAAAAAAAAAAAAACACGCAAAAAAACCCCAUAAUUUUUUAUGCAGGUUUACUGAAGUUAGGUAAGUUACAAAUGCAUCUAUGUUAGUCUGCUACUGACAGCUUACAGUCGAAUGAACAACCUUUCUAACACGUGCUCCUGAGGUUGCCAGACAAACUAAAUGGGAACAGUUUCAUUUGGUUUUUUUCCCCCUUAAUGAAUCAUGCAAAGUGUACUUUCUGAUUUUGUUACUCAUAAAUGCAAUUACAAUAAUUAACUAGCCAGAUGCUUUGUAGAACUUGCUAUCAGAUGUUAAGACGAACAAAUUUUUCUCUACACAGUCUAGGAACAAACUCCAGGCUGGGGGCAGAGGAUACAGAGCCUCAGCAAUGAGCGUUCAGAACAUCUGCUGAGCCCAGUCCUAAGGGUACUGCAGGAGCUGAAAUAAGGGGACACUGCAAGAUACAGCUUUAUCCUCCUGCCAGAAAAUGUAUCCACAGAGGUUUGUUGCUGUCACCUGAACACCCUCUAGAGGUAGGAAAGGAAGCCCUCAGUUUGAAAAGAGAACACACAUCCAUUCUGGUUAAAGCCCAACCUACCAACCACGUUUAUCUGUCCCCGGCUCUCCUCUGAUGUGAAGACAGAAGCUCUGUUAGUGAGCUGUCACAACAGACAGAACGCAGCAAACACCCUGCAUACACACAGAAUGCUGCUCUGCGGCACACUGCGCUGGGAAGGACAUUGGUUCUCUGCUGGAUGCUAAAUGAUGGAGCCCCAAAGCAAGGAGGUAGCCAAGACAAACAGGAAUAUAUUGCUUAAAUCAAGAAGUGAGCAGGAAGUUAAGGAGUUUUUAUGGCAGAGCAGUAUUUCCCCUGGACCAUUGCUGUUAAGUCAGAAAACAAGGCGAGUACAAAUGAAGGAACUAGAGGAAUCAAGCCUGAAGAGUAAAAUGUGAAACAAACCGUAUUUUGCUAAGGUAAGUGAAAACCACUUCUUACACACAUCACAUGAUAGACAUUGCCAACACAGGCAACAGUUCUCCAACAAAAACUGAAUGAAUAGAGAAGCUGUGUAUUAUGCACUGCCCACGAUAGGGUUCCAAGAGAGGACUGCUGUCCAUGAACAAUGUUAGGAAGGCACAGGAAUGAAGCCUUUUAGCCCAUUUUUUCUUCUCUAAUGAUCACAGAGAAAGCACAAAGAGCUUUGAAGACUGAUGUGAAUGUGUGGUUAGAGUAUGAGCGAGAUGCACUGUGAAAGAGCACACAGGAAGUGAACAUAAAAACCUAGGAAGUCCAAUUAAGAAAAGAGUAUAGCUCUGAACCUGGUGCAGACAAACAAAAAAACAAAAAACAAAAAAAAAACCCACAAAAAUGAGCAAAACCCACCAACAACAUGCAUCCAUAUGGGCACUCAGUAGCACCAGUGAAAAGGGCCUUUAUUCUGCACGGCUUCACACUGAGGCACCCACUUGUCCCCUCUCAAGUGAAGUGACAAGGGAUGGACUGAAUGUGGGAGAGACCCAGGAGAGCAACCAAGAAGGUCUGGGGUCUUGAGUAUGUGCAUCAAAUAGAGGUUAAAGAGCUGAGCUCAUUCAAUUUGGCGAGAGUGAUCUACCAGUUGACUGGCAGUUCACAGCAAGUCAAGCAGCCUGCAACUCCUGGAAGAGAAAUUACAAGGAUAAGGAAGUAAUAUGCUUCUUGACAUAGAAGGUUCAGAUUAACUCUCACCCCACAUCAAAUCCUCUAUUUUCAACUGAAGGGUCGGUCAUGCAGGCCUGCAGCAUGUUUCCCAGUAGGACUGUGGCACAUCCACCCAGUGUUCAAGACCUGUUCAAAGACUGGUUGACACGAAUGGGAAAAGAGUAUCUUCCAGAUGGACUGGAAAAAUACCUGGAUCCUCUCUAAAGAAUGCUUCAAGGAGAAAUGUGCACAAAAUGAGAAUCGGACACUGCAUCAGAUGGAACAAAACCCCACGGAUUUCUACUGAAGUGCAUCAAAGUAUUCACCAUCAUUCACUCCCUGAAAGAAAAUGGUUAUUAAACUUUAGGUGGCAGUCACAGAGCUUUAAGUUUUUACUUCCUCAGUAUCUAAUAAGACUAACGUGGCUUUGCCACACCAUUUAUGUUGUCAACUCUGCUAACACUUGCUAUUUGUAAAUAUUGCACUGCUAUUUGUCUUUUAAAUAAAUAAAUAAAAAUACAUUGCUAUCCUAACAUAUCCUAGCAGGCCCUGGCUCUGAAAUGGUACUUGAAGAUAAAAGCUGUUGUUCUACCUACAGAACACCUGGAAUGAAUUCGUUAGAUGCCUGCAGAUGGAUAAAAUAAAGUGGCAAAAUCAUUUUUCUUGCUUUCUACUAGGCAAGUAUUUAGGAUGUUGCACAUUAUUGUUGUUUCUAACCGUAGUGUGGAACCUCCCUAAUUAUACUCCUAGCAUAGUAAAUGAUGCAGCACUGUUAGCUCAGAUGCAAAGAUACUGCUGUUCAACAGCCAUCUGAUCACUAGCAAAAGAUGUCCAGAAAGCAGAUAUGAAAAGCCAAAACAGCUAGUUAAAUUUUUAUGGCAUUGCUAGAUUUUUUUCCGAAAUCACUUUCCAGCCUUUUUCCAUCCAGAAUGCAAAAGGAUGAGAAGAAGACCAUACUGGGUCACACAUUCAUCUAGCCCUGUAUCUUAUCUCCUCCAGCAAUGGCUAGUAAAGGAGGCCCAUGGAAACAUCAAUAUGGGUCAUGCAAAGUGAUACACACCCAGACCUGCAAUUUGUGAUUCAGAAGCUUCCAGAGCAAAAGGUGAUGGCUUUGUAAUGAUAAGGACAUUGCCACAACAAAUGUCAAAGACUUUUGCACGUAAUUUAUUAAAAAGAAGUCAGUAAGAAACAGAAACUUUAUUAUUCCUAAAAUAAAUCCAACGUGUUAAAAUCAGGAAACUUAUGCAACUAAUUAUAACCUAGCAAUAAAAACAGUAUCAAAGAGUAGUAUUUCUUCUGAACUUUUCAUGCCACUUCUUUUUCAGAACAUUAAUUAAGAAUAAAAACAAUACAAAAUCCUUAUGACGGCUGAAGAUGAAACCCAGAGUUAAAUUUGCAACAAAUCCGGAACUCCUCUUUGAUCAUUCUGAGGCAACGUCUACACUUUCUUAUCAAACCAAACCACCAAAAAUAAUCUAAAUAAACAACAGUAGCAACAGAAGGAAAUCCUACAGCGUCUCAAGACAACGCUUCUAAGGAGUCAGAAUAUUAGAGAAUUCUAAUACACCUCCACAUGCAUUAACUAUGUACAUACUCCACGUGUAGGUGAUGUGGUGUGGCAUAAAUACUUCAUUAGCCACAGUUUAAGUUACUGACUCAUUACUCAUAAAUGGAAUAAUUUUCUUUUCUGAUUUCAUAAGCGUACGUACUUGAAGUGUUCCUAAAUGAGUAAGAACAUAAGACUGUGGUACUUGCAGUAAAGACUUCAACUAAGGCUGCUACGUAAAGCGCUACUGAGAUACACAGAAAGGAACGUGUAAUUUAUGGCUCUGCAACCCAGCACAAUUAUACUGAAGUCAAAGGGCCACGCUCAAGAGCAAAUUGUUCACCUGGUAGCAAAAGUCUGCAGAGCAGCUGCCUUCGGAAGCAUUUUGCAAGGCUGGAUUUACAAAUAAAUUAACCAACUGGAUUCCAAAUGUAGGUCACAACACUGGCCACCCAACUUUCUCUCUGCUUUGGAAAGACAAAUAGAAAUAAGAGCAAAGCAGGCACCGUCCUCAGCUCUGAAGCAUUUUACCCAAUGGAAAUGAGAAAUGAAAAUACCAUUACAGAGAUGGUAGAGAUAGUUUCUUAUUUGCAACCAGUGUUUAAUUCUCCCCUUUUCAUUUCAGAAGCAACAGGCAGGCCUAAAUAAACCCACACAUCUAAGACUUCAGACUGAAACUCUGAAAGCACCCUUGGGCUAUUUCAGCCCUGCAUAUUAGCAUGAGCUUCAUUUCGGGAGAACACUGAUCUAGACGUCGGGCUUACAGCAGAGAGCCCAUUCAUUCCUGGAGCAGAAAUAGUGCCGAGCUAUAACGGGCUCUGCAGAGUCGAGAAUAGCUUAGCAGAGCUAGCAGCGGACAUCUCAUCCACAUACGUGGUGAUGUCUUCUUAACUCUGAGCUAUUUCAAGACGACUUUUUUCCCCUUGACCCUGUCAGAGAGCAUGUUUUCCAAGAUGCAUUUGUAGUUGAUCAGGUGGAUGGAAAAAGCGAGCCAGGAACAGUAACGGUAUUAUCUGAAUAUCUGACAGUCAUUAAAUCAGAAUCAAAUAAAUACAUUAAAAGAAUUUAUAGAUCAGCAAUGGAGAUGUCUGACAAACUGACAUCCCAUGGAACUCCAAAUGACUUAAAGACAGGAGCUGUAGCAUGACGGAUCCUUGAAGGUAACAGUAUCACCAGGCACCUCUACAUUACAGCAACGUUUCGAGCUCUCACACAGAUUUGCUCAGAUAAAAGAUAGAAUGUUGGCAUUUUCAGCUGCCAAAAUUGCCAUUUGCAAUUAAAAAUUAAAACUGGCACCCAUUCCAUGCAGGCAAUUAUCUAAAGGCAGCUGGCGAUCUUCCUUGUUUACAGUGCUGCUGUGUCAUGACUUCACUCUGUUUGGAAAUCUACUUAUUUAUUUAUUUAUUUUCCCGAGGUUUAAACUUGUCAACUUUAUUUCCAGCUUAAACUUUAUCCAUUUUUAUGUAUGUGGCGAUGUCAAACAGCAAUCUAUGGACUCUUCCACGGCACUGCAGUGCGACAGCACUCCUGGCAACGCGGCGAUCCUCAAGCCCUUCCCUACACACUGUGUAUAGGAUACCACCUGUAGGAACUCAAACGGCACAAGGUUCGAAACUAAUGCCCUCCAGGAAGAAAGUUCAGCCCGUAUCUGAUUUGCGCAGCCAAACGGCAGGGGCAGCUCUACCGAGCGGCCACAAAUCCUCGCGCUCAAGGCGUGACAGCGCUACGCCCAUUUCUGCCGCUUAGCGCCCGCAACACGUCGGUUCUCCCCCGGUCACCGUGGCCGCGGAGCAUCACGCAGAGCAGCACAGCGCCGUGCUCUCGGCAGAACUACGUUCCACCUCCGAGCGUUUCCCUUCGGCGGGGUUCGGGAUUGCCCCGCUGCCGGGCGAGGAGCGCUCCCUGCGUGUCACGCCGCCUUCGGGUCCCCAUCCCCGGGCAAAGGGCCGUGCCCCGAUCCGCGUCCCCGGAGCCCGAACGGCGGUGACCGCCGGGAGCCGAGGAACAGCACGGGUGAAUCGGUCCGAGUUUCACAGCUGUGACGGCAACAGGACGGAGAAGCGAAAGGAGGUGUCACUCGCGCAGAGAAAGCGCAGCAAUGUCACGGAGCGGAGGGCAGGGCACGCGCUCUCAGAACCGACGCUCUCCCCCAGCGCUUCCCCGUCCCCAAAGCCGGGCGCACCUCGGGUGACCGCACACGCGUGGAGAAGCGAACCCGGCGUGAGAGUGGGAGAAGCGGGCGGAGUGCGGCCAACUUUGGCACCGCGCUGCUCCUCCCGCUCAGCGCCGCGGGGCUCCCCAAGGGCCGUCCCGCCGCGAGGUGCGGAGCCGCACACGCUGCCGGAGGCGCCGCAGGUGGCAGCGAGCGCUCCGCUCCCGGCUCGGGGCCGUUCGUAGAGGAAGGGGGAAGCGGAGAGACCGGGACGCGACGGGCUGGGCGGGGAGGGGGUCGGUACUCACAC